CUCCAGCCUGGCCAACAGAGCAAGUCCUUGUCUCAAAUAAGUAACAUUGACAAAGAUAAGGAAGUUGCAGAAAAUAUUAAUUUAUAAAACUGAGUCAGGCUGGGCGCGGUGGCUCAAGCCUGUAAUCCCAAAGUGCUGGCCUCCCAAAGUGCUGUGUGAGCCACUGUGCCUGGCCAUACAUUUACAAUUUUAUAUGGUAAUUAAACCAAGGAUAUGAAUGAGAUUUCCUAGGAAAAGAGUAUAUAGUGAGAAGGAGAGAGGCCAAGAGAGGAACUCUAGAAAU
rnacentral:lncRNA from 1 species